CCUUUAGGUAUCUCCUCAGCUCGCUUGGAACCUCGACGAAGUAGCUGCAGCUUUAACUAGUGAAACACGGAGCGGAGGCUCCGAAGAUUCCAGGAAGCGCGCUGACCAAUCACAGCAGACUGGGCAUUUUCUGGAGGAGAUAUUAAAGAGACAGGCGCUCCUACAGAGCAUCUCAUUCAGAGGGUGAAUACAGAUGCCCUUCAUGACUGUACCAAAGUUCCCAGAGCCCAGUUCUCCAUCCUCCAAGAAGAGCUGGCUGCGAUCCACUGUGGAACUCCUUAGUUCAUCUGGGUCUGCGUAUGGACUCUCAUACACCUCCGUGUCCAUCGGCAUGGCCUCUGAUGGAGAAAUGACCAUGACACAUUUGAGUGAUUGACACAUCAGUCUGUCUUGCACAGUAUGCAAACUUGUAUGUGAAGUGAAGUUAGAUAUCAUUAAACAACCUGUUCUCUCAA